AAAAUUUGAAACAUCAAAUCUAUCAGAUCUAACUAGAGAAAUCAAAUCUGAAACUCCAAAUCUACCAGAUUGACCAGAGAAAUCAAUUCUGGAACUCCAAAUCUAUCAGAUCUAACCAAAGAAUUCAAAUAUGAAACUCCAGAUUUAUCAGAUCUGGACCGAGAAAAUUGAACCUGAAACUCCUGAUCUAUCAACCUAAUUAUAGAAAAUGGAAUCUAGAACUCUAGAUCAAUAAGGUCUAACCAGAGAAAUACAAUCUAGAACUCUAGAUCUAUUAGAUAUGACUGGAGAAAUCAAAUCUGGAUCUCCAGAUCAACUAGAUUUUAUCAGAAAAAAUUGAAUCUGAAACUAUUGUUGUUGGUUCUAAUGCACAACUGUCAUUCUCUAAUAUGGUUCACCAUCCACCUCCACUACUCUGGCAACCCAGGGCUAGCAAGCAGAGUCUCUGACAAUAAGAAUUUGGCGUCUAGUUUUAGCACUAGAUUUUGCCAACAUCCUACAAAGUUUUCAAGAAAACCACCCUAAUCCCUGUGAUUUCUAUCUCUUUAAUCUUUAUUAAAGUCAUUUGCUAUUUUCUAUUUUUUGUUUAAAUCUUCCCAAGUUUUCAUUCUCUGCCCACACUUUUCUGACUUGCUAUAUAGAACAUUGUUGCCUAUUUUGGUGCAAUUUUAUUAAUGUUUUAUUACUUUUUUUCUUUGAUCUCUACCUCUUCUUUGGUGUUAAUUUAGACCUAGACUAGUAAGUAUUAACUUUGACUUGAAUUUUGUUUUGCUAAUGUCAUUUCCAUAAUUACUGUGAUAUUUAUUCUUCUUCUCUUGUAGCAUACUACGUGUUGUUCUCUUUUAUAGCUUUUUAGAUUUACAACACAAUGCAGGUUCUGAUCUCUGUUUCUGAUUUUGGUGUAAUUCAAUUUAUUGAUUCCGUGCUCUUUUUAAAUUUUUCAUUAUCGUUUCAAAUUAUUUCUUGCUAUCUUGCUUUUAGACUAUUCAUUUAAAUUAGUAUUUUCCUAUGUAGUUUAAACCUUAUUUGAUGGCUUUCGUGAAUGAUGAUAGACUAGGGUCAUGUCGUAAGUCGCGAUCAAGGGAGAAGGGUAGGAGUGGUACGUGGGUUAAAGGUUUUCCUAGUCUGAGAGCAGGGUCUUGGAAUAUAUGGAUCCUUGUUGGGGCAGUCCACAGAGAUACAAAAGAUUUUAAAGAAGAGGAAGAGUCAUAUAGCGUGUGUUUAGGACACUAAGUGGGUUGGUACCAAGGUUUGGAAUGUGGAGGAGUUUAAGUUAUAUUACCCAGGAGGAUCGAGGGAUAGGAAUGUAGUAGGUAUUUUAGUAUAUGGGAACCUUAGAAAGUAAGUGACGGAUGUUAGGAUGAUUAAGGAUAGGAUGAUGACGAUUAAGCUAGUCAUUGAAGGGCUUACUUUGAACGUGAUUAGUUCUUAUGCACCCCAAAUAGGAUUGAAUGAAGAGGUUAAGAAUAAAUUUUAGGUGGAUUUGAAUAAGAUGGAAAGGGGUAUACCACAAACUGCGAAUACAUUCAUUAGCGGGAACUUCAACGGCCACAUUUGGGAAAACUCUAGUGGUUUUGAUGAUGUGCAUGAAAACUUUGUUUUUGGGGAUAGAAAUGUAGGUGGAACCUUGCUUUUGCAUUUUUCUAAAGUUUUUUGAGUUAUUUACAGCUAAUUUGUGCUUUCCAAAGAUGGAAGACCACUUGGUUGCCUGCCAUAGCACGAUGGCUAAAAAACAGAUAGAUUACUUACUCUUGAGGAAGGGCAGUAAAGUCCUUUGUAAGGACAAGGUUAUCCCAACUAAGAAUCUUACAAACAUAAGCUUUUGGUGAUGGACAUAGUGAUUAAGUGGGAAAGAGGAAAAACAAUUUAUAUGUUGGGCAAGGAUCUUGUCCUGUGCCCUGUUUUGAGAAACGAUAAAGAAACUGAUGGUUAUGGGGGCUAGAAGUAAUAGUUAGGAUGCAAAAGCAUCUGGGAUAAGUUGCAUUAGGCAAGAAGUCAAAGAAUUGUUUGAGCAUCCCAUUUCCCAAGAGAUUGCUGUUGGAAUAGAGAAGUCUAAGGCUAUGCAGAAAGAAAGAUGGUUGCUUAUGAAAAGUUGGUAUAGUGCAAGGACAAGGAGGGGAAGCGGUCACUGAAGGAUAUUUAUAAGGCAACAAAGAUGGAGGCUAAGUUAGCUGUUACAAUAGCUAAGAUGGUAGGUUACUACUAUGUACUGACCUAGGAGACAAAGGAAGAAAAAGAAAAUGUAUAAGCUCACUAAGGCGAGAAAGAAAAGGGCCCAAGAUCAAGUGAAGUGCAUCAAGGAUGGACAAUGCGAGGUGCAAGUGGAACAGACCCUUAUUAAGUAAAUAUGACAAGCAUACUUGCACAAAUUAUUGACUGGUGGAGAAAUAUCAAGAAAAGAAGAGGGACUUCAUACUGUAUUUCACUAUCCUUGAAAAGGCCUAUGAAAAGUUUUGAGGGAAGUUCUAUGGGGAUGGCUGGAGGACAGAGGUGUAUCAAUGGAUUACAUUUGGGUGAUAUGGUACAUGUAUGAUGGAUCCAAAUUAUAGGUCAAAAUAGUAGUAGAGACUCAGAGCACUUCCUAAUGGAGAUGGGUUUGCGCCAAGGAUCAACUCUUAGCCCGUUCCCAUUUUUCGUGUGAUGGAUAAAUUGAUGAGGCACAUUCAAGAUAAGAUGUCUUGGUGUAUGUUGUUUGCUGAUGACAUAGUAUUGAUUGAUGAAACACAAAGUGGAGUUAAUGCUAAGUUUGAGAUGUGGAAACAAAAAUUCUAGAGUCUAAAUGGUUCAGAUUGAGUAGCACCAAAAGAAAGUAUUUGGAGUGCAAAUUCGGUGAUACAAUGCAUAAGUUUGGCGUGGAAGUGAGGCUUGACACACAUGCUAUUCCCAAGAGAGAAAGAGUUUCAAGUAGCGUAGGUCUAUAAUCCAAGGAAGUGGGGUUAUCAAUGAAGAUAUCAAACAUGCUAUUAUUGUAAUUCUAUAAUACAUGUGUGUAACUAUAAAGCUAAAUACAUUCAUUUUUCAUCUCUCCCCUAGUUCUCUUUCUCUGUUCUAAUCAAAGAGUAACUAGAGAAACUACUUUCUGACACCUAACAUAUAUCGCCUCCCAGCAAUGCAGGGUGCACAUCUUCAAUGUAUCAAAUGAUUCUUCAAACAAAUAGGACCUGUCAGUGAGCAUCUCAUGCGACUCCUUGUUUCUGUCUCUAACUUCUUGAAGCAUCAUCAUUGCGAAAUGUCUUCUUACUCGAAACUGUUACCUUCUUGUGCUCAAUAACUUACCAAUAAUUGUCAGAAAUUUUUGUAAAUGUCAAAAAAGGAAAGCACAGAGAAAACUUUCUUUGCCUUAUCUUCUGCCAAAAGAAUUCCAAGCUUUUAAAAGUUUUGAAGUGCUAUUUUCACUCCUUUAGUAUUACAAGAUACUGAGACCACUAGGAUACAAUAGGCUUGCCUUCCCCUUCAUCUUGCAAAGAUCUUAUAUAUACAUUACUUCACUGGCCAUCCUUAUUUAGUGGCAACAAUUUCUCACCAAGCACGUCACUAAGUAAAAUCAUGCAAUGUGCUCAUUCGAAACCCCACAGACUCAAUUCUAAACCAUGGGAUAACUCAGCUAUUACUACCUCACGUACAAAAAGAAAAAUAUCAGCCAAUGUUGAUAAUUCCUUUGUAGUGUUGAACCUUAUGAUCCUAAUGUCCGCUACUAUAGACCCUAUACUUCUCCGACAACAACAAUACAAAUGAUCAUCAAUCCCAACAACCAUUCUCAGUAGCUUACAAAACAGCGAUACUAUAGGAACACAUAUAUUGUAUACACUUGUAGGCAACAUAGUAAAUGAAUGAGAUAAGCAUCCAGUACCACCUCGAGUUAUGGCCAAAGUUUCUACAAUACACUCCAACUUCAUAGGGGAUCUAUUAUCCCUGAACUCAAUUUUUGCAUAUUUUUGUCACCUUUUUCUGCUGAUGUGGCACCUUUAUUACGUAAAAGUGGGGCCACGUCAAAGGUGCAACUAAAAAGGUGUCACGUCAGCUACAAAGGUUGACAAAAUAUGCUACAAUUUAGUUCAGAGGGUAAUAGGACUCCUGUGAAGUUGAAGUGUGUCAUAGCAAUUUGGUCAUAGUUCAGGGGUACUAGUUGUUUUACUCUAAAUGAAUUGACGAAUGAACAAAUGGAUUUGCCAGCAAUUAAUCUCUUAGCAUUAUUUGGGGACUUAUAAAGUGUUAUCAAAGCUGCAAAAACAGAUGAGAAGACGAACAAUUCCAUAUGUUCACAUGUUUUUUCAAUAUUAUCCUCGAGAGUCAUAGUUGUGAACUAUACAAGCAACAUUAUUAUGCGAUCCGAGUCUGAAGAAAAACAAACAUUGCUUUUCAAAAUGUUGAAGUUCAUUGAAAGUAAGUCACUAAUCAGUUUCCACGCCUUAGCAUGAUAUGUGCUCUGUAUUGCACUGAGUAGAUGCAAAUUUGUAUCAUUUUCUACGCCAUAGUUAGACAAUGUUUGUUCAGAGCAAAUCAACUGCUUUUCCUUAAAAGUUAGCUGUUGAUGAUUAGCUGGUAUACCCAUGGUCAACACGAUUUUAUUAUGAACUAUCUCAACUGAGUCGGUAGAAUCAGAUUUGAAUAACGAGGGUUUUGCCUCUGGGAAAUGAACACACGAAGAACUAAGUAGAAAUAGUUGGAAUGAAAUAGUUCGGUUUUCCCUUUCGCUUUUUGAUACGGAGGGAUGAAGAAGGAACUUGAUUGAGCUGAUGCUUGUUGUGGUGGAGCUGCGAUUAUAGACGGUGUCGGUCAUGGUGAAGUGAAGUGAAAAUUGUUUUGUGGUACGCCAAUGACAAGAAGAAAAUGGUUUUUCCAAAUUGUAAUAAAAAUGGUGGGGUGAGGAGUCCCGUCACUACUUAAGAAAAGAUGGAAUCUUUUCAUAAGUUUUAACGAAACUCCACUCCACUCUUCUUCAUUCAACCUGAAGAAAACAUUUUUGUGCUGUCUUUGCGUAUCACAAAACCAUUUUCACUUCAUUUCUACCAUGACCGACACCGUCUACAACCACAGCUCCACCACCAACAAGCGUCAGCUUGAUCAAGUUCCUUCUUCAUCACUCCGUACCAGAAAGCGAAAGGGAAAAUUGAUUUGUUUCAUUCCAACUACUUCUAUUCAGUUCUUCGCAUGUUCAUUUCCCAGAGGCAAAACCCUAGUUAUUCAUUUGAUUCUACAAACUCAGUUGAGAUGGUUCGUGAUAAAAUCAUGUUGAACACCUACCAGCUGAUCAUCGCGACUAAUGUACAAGGGAAAGCAGCUGAUCCGGUAUGAACGAACAUUGGCUAACUAUGUCAAGAAAACGAUACAACUACUUGGUUCAAUGUUGAGCACUUAUCAUGCUAAGGCGUGGAAACUCAUCAGUGGCUUAAUUUCAAUGAUCUCCGACAUUUUGAAAAAUAAUGUUUGUAUUUCUUCAGACCUAGAUCGUAUAAUAAUGUUGCUUGUAUAGUUCACAACUAUGACUCCCGAGGAAAAUAUUGAAAAAUCAUGUGACCAUAUGGAAUUGUUAGUCUCCUCAUCAUUUCCUGCAGCUCUGGUAGCACUAGACAUCGAUAAUUCUAAGAGAUUAAUUGCUGGUGAAUCCAUUUGUUCAUUUGUCAUUUCAUUUGCUGUGUUGCCUUAAACUGUGUACAAUGUAUGUGUUCCAGUGGUAUCAGUGUGUUGUAAGCUACUGAGAGCGGCUGCUGGGCUUGAUGAUCGUUUGUAUAGUUAUUGUCAGAAAAGUGUAGGGGCUAUAGUAGAGGACGUUGGGAUCAUAUGCAGCAACACUACAAAGGAAUUAUCAGCAUUGCCUGAUGUUUUUUCUUUUCGUACGUGAGGUGGCAGUGGUUGAGUUAUCCCAUGAUUUAGAAUUGAGUAUGGAAUCAAUUGAGUUUGUGGAGUUUUUAAUGAGUGCAUUUCAUGAUUUUACUGAGUACAUGUGUUUGGUGAGGAAAUUGUUGCCAUUAAAGAAGGAUGGCACCAAUGAAGCAUGUGUGAAAAAGAGUAUAUUGAAUGUUUGCAUCGUAUAUUAUGCGAUGUGCAUCUGAUUUUAUACGAUUUGCUAGAAAAGAUGGAAUCGUGUUUUAAGAAAUUGGAAAACCAAUUCGGAUUGCAAGUUUAAGGGGAAGGCAGGCCUAUUAUAUCCUAGUGGUUUCAAUAUCUUGUAAUACUGAAGGAGUUAAAUAGCACUUCAGAACUUUUCAACUGCUCGGAUGUCUUAUGGCAGAAAAUGAGGCAAAGAAAGAUUUCACUGUGCUUUUUGAUUGUGAUACUUGCAAAAUGUUUUGAUGAUUAUUGGUGGGUUAUUAGCACCAGGAGGUAACGAAUUUUGAGGUAAGGAGGCAUUUAGCGGUGAUGAUGCUUCAAGAAGUUAGACGGAAAUGAGUAGUCACAUGUGUGAUUAACCGAGGUGUACGCUUUUUGAAUCACUGGAGAAGCAAGAAAAAGAAAGAAGGAAGAAGAAUGACGUUUGCAGAGAAUGAGCAGUUCACUAUCGUUCACUUAGUUAUCAAAAAAAUACUACACGUCAUGGGUAUUUCUAGAAAACUUCUAUGAGUAGAGAUCAUAACUAAGAGGCUCACUAUCUACUAGUUAGAUAUAACAAACAACUUGCAAGUAACUAACUCCCUGAAGCUAACCGCCUACUCCAAGAUAGCUGCUAACACUUUGUACUCUUAACAACAUCAAAUGCUCAUUAACUGGACCCAGUUGCUGGAAGAAUCAAUUGAAUUCAUUGGAGAUAUGGAUCCCACAUUGUUGCGAGGCGAUCUGUUUAUGGGAUUCAAAAAUGAAGCAACUACUGAGCUUGGUCUGUUGAAGGAAUGGUUUUCCUUUGUAUGUUGGGAGACCUUCAAUCCUGAGAGUGCUCAUAGAAGGUUUCUCACAAAUCCAGGUAACCUUUGAUUUCCAUUAUAUAUGCACAUAUUUAUGUUACCAGUUCUCACUUCAACUUUUAAGGCUCUGGGAUUCUCUUUGUCUGAACAAAACAUCGUACUUUUUACUUAUCUAACGAAGAAAGGCUCCAUUAAUAAUACUUGGAUUGCACUGCAUAUGCAAUACUUCUGAGUCAAGUUAUCAUUUUACUCCUAGUCAAGAUAUGUAUUUCUUGUCCUAAUUUUGAAGUAUAUUUAAAUCUAAAUUCAAUGAAAAGAUUAGAACAUCUCAUAGUGAUAGAAGAUAAAGGAACAAGAUGGUAAUAGUAUUAGAAAUUUUUUGCAUCUAAAAGAUUUAACUUAUCCAUUAAUAUAGGUCGUGCAUAUUAUCUUAUAGGUUGAUUAGUGGCAAUGCAAACCACCUGUGGACUGGAGCUAAUACUGGAAGAGGAUAUGUUAUAUCAAAGAGAAAUAUGCUCCUGGGUAUUGUGGAGAUGAUUGGCUUCAAAAUAGGGACAAAUACACAAUCCAAAGCAGCUAUCGACGGAGAAGAGGGAAUGGUAGCCUAUGGCCUUGGUGGAGGGAUGCAUGGAACAAAGCUAAUGUGACUAAACAUAGUUUUAUUUCUUGGCUUCCAAUGCACAAGAGGAUGCUCACCAGGGAUAGAUUAAAUAAAAUGGGAGUAUGAUAGGACACGGAAUGCCUAUUAUGUGGUAGAUGCCCAGAAAGCAUUACACAUAUAUACUUCGAGUGUAAAUUAUCAAAUUUAUGCUAGGAGGGAGUCCUAGACUGUCUGAAAAUGAAGAUUCAUAGGAAAGAUUUGAAGGGCAUCUGGACAGGACUUGCACGAAAGACUACUGGGGAAAUAAGCAAGGCACUCAUAAGAACAAUCCUUGCUGCACUGAUCUAUCAUGGAGCAUGGUGGAACAAAGAAGUAAUCAGAACCCAAAGGUUGUUGAAGAUAAUCAACAGGGAAGCAAAGGCAGAAUCUAUGAAGUCUUACAUCGGAUAGUUUGUAAAGACAGAGAUUGGAUAGAACAGUUAUGUGAUAGGUGAUGGAGGUGUAGUCUACAAUAACAUGUGUGAUGUGGUUAUUAAUACAUUCUGUUCGCUUGACCAAAAAAAUGACGAUGUCAUCUCCAUUCCUUUUGCAUGUCAAGUUUUAUUCUUGCUUUCAUUCACCAUUAUUCCUUGUGGAAAAAUAUUUUUACUUCAAAAACUUGAAAUUAACAAUAUAUUUAAUCUCUUAUAUUAGCAUGAGGUAAUCUACUGAUGAUUUUCUUUUAUUUAUGUAUGAAAAAAAUCACCAAUCAUGAUUAUAUAAAGAUCAAAUUUUCAAGUCUUCGUUUUUCCCCCAUUGUUCCUUUCUUUUACUUUUUUCAUAUUUCCUUGUACUUUCUGUGUUGCUCUCUUCUUAGUUGGUACAACUUUUUUGGGAUACUCAAACUCGAGUAUUGAAAAAUAAAGAUAAUACAGGGACAUUGAUCUGAGCGUUUAUAAAAAACAACCUCUCUAACUCCCAUGGUAUGGGUAAGGCCAGCAUAAAAAUGUUGUAAGAUUACACUUGGUAUGUUGUUGUUGUUAUAUCUAGAGAGUUUAAUGUUGACUGUAGGGCAGAAGAAAGGUCAAGUCCUUAGUUUUUAGUUUUGAUGAUGGACAACUUGGGAGUUGGUAGAUCUUCCUCUAGGAAAUAAACCUUUAGGUUUUAAAUGGAUCUUCAAAAGGAAAAUGAAAGCAGAUGGUACUAUUGACAAAUACAAGACAAGACUUGUUGUAAAAAGCUUUAAACAAAAUGAAGGUCUUGAUUACUUUGAUACAUACUCGCCAGUAACGAGGAUAACAUCAAUUCGGAUGUUAAUUGCCUUGGCGGUAGUAUAUGGUCUUGAAAUCCAUCAAAUGGAUGUGAAAACAACAUUCCUAAAUGGAUAAUUGGAGGAAGAAAUUUACAUGGAACAACAUGAGGGUUUUGUGGUUCGAGGAAAAGAAAAUAAGGUGUGUAAACUUGUUAGGUCACUUUAUUGACUAAAACAAGUACCUAAACAAUGGCAUACGAAGUUUGACCAAACCAUGUUGGAAAAUGGGUUCAAGAUUAAUGAAUGUGAUAAAUGUGUUUACAUUAACGACACUCCAAAUCACCAAGUCUUUGUAUGUGGAUGACAUGUUGAUCAUUAGUAGAGACAUUUUGGACAUAAACGUAACGAAAUGAAUGCUCGAGAGCAAGUUCGAUAUGAAAGACCUUGGAGUUGCGGAUGUGAUCUUAGGAAUAAGAAUCCAUAGAACUCCACAAAGGUUGGCAUUGUCACGGUCUCAUUAUAUCGAAAAGGUACUUAACAAAUUCAAGUAUAUGGAAUUUGGUAUUGCCAAGACUCCAUUGGAUGUGAGCUUUGCACUUUGAAAUAAUGAACGUGAAAGUGAUUCACAAUUGGAGUACUCAAGAGUAUUAAGAUGUUUAAUGUAUAUAAUGAAUUGUACACGACCAUACAUAGUAUGUGCUAUUAUUAAGUUGAGUCGAUAUAUGAGUAAUCCUAAUAAAACUCAUUGGAUUGCGAUGAAAAGAGUUUUGGGGUAUCUUAAAUACAUUCAAGACUAUGCUUUGCAUUAUAAUAAAUAUCCUGCGGUACUUGAAGGAUACUGUGAUGCAAAUUGGAUCACCGGAUCGAACGAAGUAAAAUACACAAGUGGAUAUGUAUUUACUAUCGGUAGAGGAGCGAUCUCUUGGAAGUCAUCCGAAUAGAAAUGCAUUGCUCGCUCUACAAUGAAAUCUAAUUUAUCCCAUUAGAUAAAGCCGGUGAAGAAGCAGAAUGACUCUGGAAGUUUUUGGAAGAUAUUCCUUAUUGGCCCAAACCAUUGGUACAAGUAGGUAUACACUGAGAUAGCCAAGUAGAAAUAGGCAGGGCAGGUAGCAGGAUAUACAACGGUAAGUCUUGUCAAAUAAGACGGAGACAUAAUGCCAUUAGAGAACUUCUCUCUAGUGGAAUUAUCACUGUUGACUAUGAAAAGUCAAAGGAUAAUGUGUCGGAUCCACUUACAAAAGGCCUAUCUAGAGAAAGAGUUGAAAGAACAUCCAAGGGAAUCGGUUUAAGGCCUAGUAAAAGUCAGCAUGGCGAUAACUCUACCUAACAGAAAGGAUAUCAUAAGAGCUAGGUUUAGAGAGAUCAAACAAAGUUGUGUUUGAUAGGUUCAACAUUGUCAUUAUACACAACCCAUUCUCAUGAUAUAGACAAUGUUUAGUAAACGAUGAUAAGAAUUAUGGUGUGAAGUCUUUUAAUGAUUAUCUAAAUUUUCCAGAUUUAACCAAAUAACUUAAUAUACAGGAUUGAACGUUUAGAAAUCACCUAUGUGAGGGCGAAGUAGAAGCCUCUUUAAGGAGAAUGUUAUUAAAGGCCUAUUCUCUAAGCUCUCAUGAAAUCGGGACUUGUUCAUGGUUGAAAAGAACAAAAUUUUGAGAACCAUAAAUGGUAAGAGACUAGUUGUGUGACAUGUGUUAUCUAGAUGUACAUUAAAUCUUGACGGUUCAAAGAUAUCAAAUCUAUCGAUUGACUAAGUGCAUCCAAUGCAAGUUCUUUACUGAAAGUUCAAAGAAAAACCCACUUAUCCAGAUGCAAUCAGUCUUUGCUCAAUUUUUACAUGCUUGUCCGUAUCUUUCUUCAAAAUAUAUCCAUUCUUUAUUCAUGUGGGGGAUUGUUGGGUUCAAAGAGUAUGUAUGAAUGGAAAAUGGAGGGAAAAAUAGUGGAGGGAAAUAGUUACUAAAUUGGAAAGUGUACUCUUUUAAUGGAAAGUCCACUAAUUCUCCCACAUUGGUGGGAGAAGGGAACUUUCAAGUAUUUAUAAUAACGAAAACUUACUCCACACGGUAAGUAAGGCAAGAACAAAGUAGUGCCUCACGUUGUCGUCGUCGCUCACUCGGCUUCAGCUUUGGAUUUAAAUUUGGAUUUGUCAAAUGAUCGAUCGAUGAGAUCUAUUUUUUAGACAAUAUUUAUUUGAAACUUGAUAUUUAUUAGGUAUAGACAAGAUUGGGCGCAAUUCCAGCAUUGACUGUGCGCAGGUGAUAUGACUGUACUGCAUGGGUGCCUUUUUGCUGAACCAAUGCUUCCUCUUCAAAGGGGAACAUUAAGGAUAUAAAUACCUAACAUAUUCCUUAGGUAUAGACAUGAUUUUUAUAGAAAAAAUACUCUUCUUUUAUACAAAAACUCAUUGUGAUCAUUAGCCGUUUAGUGAGUUCAAUGAAUCCAAUAAUUUGAGGUACCGCUAUUGUUGGAUCUAAAGCCAUUUUAUCCUGGGAGAAAAAUUACAUAAUCUCGGGUACAGUGAGGGGAAUUAUUCCUUAAGGACACUCUGUAAAGUUGGGGACUUGGAUUUAAAUUUCUGUUUCAUCUCAUUUCUGAAAAAACAAUAACACACCUCUUAGAUAGAUUAUUUAUAAUCUUGUGUUGAAAGUGUUGUGUAACUUCAUAGGUGUUCUUGUUUUUAUACUUGAACUUGUGUUGAAGUUGUUGUGUGCCUAAAUACAGAUUCUUGUACCCGAAAACACUGCAAAUAACAAUCUUAAGGAAUAAUACUCAUAAUUUGUAUUGCUUGGUUUCUGGAGAUUAAAGCUUUAAGCUUUCUAUUCGGUUUGAACUUAACUAGUGAUUAGAAGACAUAAAAUCUUCAUCAUAAGUUAAAGAUCACUCAGUUGAUGAUUGGAAAUCAUAAGAAUUUCAUCAUUAAACUAGAAACAAGAGGUGUUUAUAGUUGCUGCAACUUUAUUAAUAGUAUUUUGAUAUACUAAAGUUACUGUCUUGUUGUGACAGGAAAAUGACUACGGAUAGUCAAGUGCAUGAUGCUGCAACGAGUGUGGCAGCAACUAGUGUUGCCAUGAAGAGUCAUACGAAUGCAAUGGCACCAGCGUAGAAACAUGGAAAGUUCACGGGUAUUGACAUCAAAUGGUGGUAGCAGAAAAUGUUCUUCUACCUUACAACUCUUUAUCUUCAAAGGUUCACAUUUGAAGAAGCUCCAGAGAUGGCCAAGGGAACCUCUGAACAAGAUUGAUUUGUCAUUGUGGAGGCGUGGAAACACUCAGAUUUUCUUUGCAGAAAUUACAUUCUAAAUGGCCUCCAAGAUGAACUAUUCAAUGUAUAUAGUGGGAGGGCCCUAGAAAGGAAGUAUAAGACUGAGGAUGCGGGAACUAAAUAGUUAUUCGGUUCAAGAUUCCUAUAGUUUAAAAUGAUUGACAGCAAGUCUGUUGUAUCGCAAGUCCAGGAACUGAAAGCAAUCAUCCUUGAUCUCCUCGCGAAAGGUAUGAUUCUGAGGAAUACCUUAGUUGAAUAUAUUAAAGAUAUUCUUAAUGUUCAUAUGAACUUAAUUGUAGGUUUGAUCAUGAAUAAGGCAUUUCAAGUCGUGGCAAUUAUUCAGAAGUUACCACUUAUGUGGAAGGGACCUCAAGAACUACUUGAAACACAAGUGAAAAGAAAUAUAAGUCAAAUAUUUUAUAAUAAUAUUGCGCAUUGAAGAAGAUAAUAAAUCCGCGAAAAGAAGGUCAAAGGGAAAUUCUACAAAAAGUGGAGCAAAUAUUGUAGAGAUGACCAAAACAACUCCAAAAAGCAGAAGAAAGUUGGACAGAAAAACAAUCAACCCAAGAAGAAAUUCAAGGGAAAAUGCUUUAACUGUGGCAAGAUUGGACAGAAGUCUAUGGAUUGUCAUGACCCAAGGAAAGGAAAGAAAAAAGACCAAGCAAAUAUGGUUGAGUCCAAGAAAGAAAUGGAUGAUCUGUGUGCCAUGUUGUCCAAAUACAACUUGGUGGGAAAUCCUCAGAAAUGGUGGAUGGAUUGCGGUGCCACCCGCCAUAUUUGUGCUAACAAAGAGUUAUUUGAUGUUUUUGCUCUAGUACAAGGGAAAGAAAAGAUAUAUAUGGCCAACUCUACAACUGCUAAAGUUCAAGAAACAGGAAAAGUCUGCCUGAAAAUGACAUCAGGCAAAGUGUUGACUUUGAACAAUUCCCUAUAUGUACCAGAGUUAUGGAAGAACUUGAUUUCUGUAUCACUUCUUUACAAAAAUGGAUUCAAAUGUGUAUUUGUUUUCAGAAAAAUUGUACUUAGUAAAGGAGAAGUGUAUAUAGGAAAAGGCUACCUCAAUAAGGGCCUAUUCAAAAUGAAUGUUGAAAUAAAUAAAAGUUCAAUUUCUUCUUACAUGCUUGAGUCUUAUGAUUUGUAGCAUGAAUGAUUAGGCCUUGUUAAUUACAAAACAUUGUGAAAAUAGAUUAACUUACAAGUUUUGCCAAACUUUGAGUGCAAUAAAUCAAAAUGUCAAAUGUGUGUGGAAUCAAAGUAAGCUAAGCAUCCGUAUAAGUCCGUUGAAAGAAAUUCUAAUCUCUUAGACUUAAUCUACACUGAUAUUUGUGAUACGAAGUCAACACCAUAUCGUGGUGGAAAAAAGUAUUUUAUAACUUUUAUUAACGAUUGCACUAGAUACUGUUAUGUCUAUUUUCUAAAUAGUAAGGAUAAAGUAAUAGAUACGUUUAGGCUAUAUAAUACUGAAGUCAAAAAUCAAUUAGAGAAAAAGAUCAAAACAAUAAAAAAUGAUAGGGGCGGAGAAUAUGAAUCUCCUUUUACGCAAAUAUAUGUAGAGAAUGGAAUUGUCCAUCAAACUAUGGCCCCGUAUUCACCUCAAUCUAAUGAAAUUUUGGAAAGGAAAAAACAGAACCUUGAAAGAAAUGAUGAAUGCCUUGCUUAUAAGUUUAUGUUUACCGCAAAACUUGUGGGGGGGAUCUAUCCUUAUGUCUAAUAGAAUACUCAAUAGAGUGAUCCAUAGUAAGACACAAUCAAUUCCAUAUGAUAAAUGGAAAGAAAGGAAACCCAACUUGAAAUAUUUCAAAGUGUGGGGGUGUCUAGCCAAGGUCCAAGUUCCUAUUCCUAAAAGAGUAAGGAUAGCACCUAAGACGGUGGACUGUGUGUUCAUAGGAUAUGCUAAAAAUAGGAUAUGCUAAAAGUAGCAAAGCAUUAAGGUUUUUGGUUUAUAAAUCCAAACAUCUGGAUAUCAAUUAAAAUACAGUAAUUGAAUCAGAUAAUGUUGAAUUCUUUGAAUACAUUUAUCCGUAUAAAACUAAACAUGAACUGUCUAGUGGGGGUCUAAACGACGUCGAAACCAAGUAAGGAAGUUUAUAAUGAUGAGAAUCCAAGACAUAGAACAUAUCAAAGAACAUCAACUUCGUUUGGAUCGGAUUAUGUAACAUUUCUUUUAGAAAAUGAGCCUUAAACGUUUGAAGAAACGACGUCGUCGUCAGACUCAUCCAUUUGGAAAGAGGUAGUCAAGAGUGAGAUUGAUUCAAUCUUAAGCAACCAUACGUAGGAUUUGGUUGAUCUUCCUCCAGGAAAUAAACCGUUAGGUUCUAAAUGGAUCUUCAAAAGGAAAAUGAAAGUGGAUGGUACUAUUGAAAAAUACAAGGCAAGACUUGUUGUAAAAGGAUUUAAACAAAAGGAAGGAUUUGAUUACUUUGAUACAUACUCGCUAGUAACAAGGAUAACGUCAAUUCGGAUGUUAAUUGCCUUGGCAGCAGUAUAUGGUAUUAAAAUCCAUCAAAUAGAUAUGAAAACAGCACUACUAAAUGGAGAAUUGGAGGAAGAAAUUUACAUAGAACAGCGUGAUGGUUAUAUGGUUCCAGGAAAAGAAAAUAAGGUGUGUAAAAUUGUUAGGUCACUUUAUGGACUAAAACAAGUACCUAAACAACGGUAAACGAAGUUUGACCAAACCAUGUUGGAAAAUUUGUUCAAGAUUAAUGAAUGUAAUAAAUGUGUUUACAUUAAAGACACUCUAAAUCACCAAGUCAUUGUUUGUUUGUAUGUGGAUGAUAUGCUGAUCAUCUGUAGAGACAUUUUGAACAUAAAUGCAGUUAAAUGAAUGGUCGAGAGUAAGUUUGAUAUGAAAGACCUUGGAGUUGCGGAUGUGAUCUUAGGAAUAAGAAUCCAUAGAACUCCACAAGGAUUGGCAUUGUCACAGUCUCAUUAUAUCGAAAAGUUACUUAACAAAUUCAAGUAUAUGGAAUUUUGUAUUGCCAAGACUCCAUUGGAUGUGAGUUUCACACUUUGAAAGAAUGAAGGUGAAAGUGACUCACAAUUAUAGUACGCAAGAGUAUUGGGGUGUUUAAUGUGUAUAAUAAAUUGUACAUGACCAGAUAUAGCAUGUGCUAUUAGUGAGUUGAGUAGGUACACUAGUAAUCCUAAUAAAACUCAUUGGAUGGCAAUGAAAAAAGUUUUGGGGUAUCUUAAAUACACUCAAUACUAUGCUUUGCGUUAUAAUAAAUUUCCUGUGAUACUUAAAAGAUAUAAUAACGCAAAUUGGAUCAUCAGAUCGAUUGAAAUAAAAUCGUUGAGUGGAUACGUAUUUAGUAUCGUUGGAGGAGCGUUCUCUUGGAAGUCAUCCAAAUAGACAUUCAUUGCUCGCUCUACAAUGGAAUAUGAAUUUAUCGCAUUAGAUAAAGCUAGUGAAGAAGCAGAAUGGAUCCAGAAUUUCUUGGAAGAUAUUCCUUAUUAGCCCAAACCAGUUGCACCAGUAUGUAUACACUGGGAUAGCCAAGUGGCAAUAGGUAGAGCAGGGUUCUUGAUGUAAAACGGUAAAUCUCAUCAUAUAAGAUGGAGAUAUAAUACCGUUAGAAAACUUCUCUCAAGUAUAAUUAUCACUGUCGACAAUGUAAAGUGAAAGGAUAAUGUGUAGGAUCUACUUACAAAAGGCCUAACUAGAGAAGGAGUUGAAAGGACAUCCAAGUGAAUGGGUUUAAGGCCUAGGACAAGUCAGCAUGACAGUAACUCUACCUAGCAGAUAGGAGAUCCCAAGAGCUAGAUUCAAAGAGAUUAAAAAAGGUUGUGUAUGAUAGGUUCAACAUUGUCAUUAUACCCAACCCAUUCUUAUGAUGUAGUCAAUGUUUAGUAAUCGAGAAUAAGACUUAUGGUGUGAAGUCUUUUAAUGAUUAUCUAAAUUUGACAGAUUUUACCAAAUAGUUUAAUCUGCAGGAUUGAAUGUUUAGAAUUCACCUAUGUAAGGGUGAAGUGGAAGUCGCUUUAAAGAGAAUGUUAGUAAAGACCUAUUAUCUAAGCUCUCAUGAAACCGGGAUGUGUUCAUGGCUGAAAAGAAUAAAAUCGUGAGAACCAUAAAUGGUAAAAGGAUGGUUUUGUGACAUGUGUUGUCUAGGUGUACAUUAAAGCUCGACGGUUUAAUGAUAUCAAAUCUACCAAUUGACCGAGUGUAUCCGAUGAUGUUCACUAUGGAAAGUUCCAGGGGAAACCCACUUAUCCAAAUGUAAUCAGUCUUUGUUCAUCGAUCACAUGUUUUUCGCUAUCUUUUUUCAAAAGAUAGUCAUUCCCCAUUCAUGUGGGCGAUUGUUGGGUUCAAGGUGUAAGUAUAAAUGGAAAAUAGAGGGAUAAAAUAGCGUAGGGAAAAUAAGUUGAAAGUGUACUUUUUUAAUGGAAAGUCCACUAAUUCUUCCACAUUGGUGGGAGAAGGGAACUUUCAAGUGCUUAUAAUAAGGAACACUUACUCCACAUGGUAAGUAAGGCAAGAACAAGGUGGAGCCUCACGCCGUCAUUUUCGUUGCACUCUCGGCUGGGCUUCGUAUUUGAAUUUGUCAAAUGAUCGACCAAUGAGAUCUAUUUUGUAGACAAAAUUUAUUUGAAACAUUAUGAACAAGAAAAUUUUAAUCCAAAGAAUCUGAUAGAAAUAUUUUUCUCCAUAUGCGAGUGCAUUUGAUGCCAUACAAAUGCAUACACAAUACACCUCGAAGGGAUGCGAACCUUCGAGGUAAAUGGUACAUUGUUUCAUGUAAUAAGGUGAUCUGUGCACACACCUUGGUAACAUGAGGGCACAGGUAGUCACUGGAAUUUGGACAAUGUCACCUGUGGCUGCAGAUCGGGCACAGUUCUAGCACAGACUAUGCACAGAUGAUGUGACUGUACUGAAUAGGUGCUCUUUUGUUGAACCAAUGCUUCCUUUCAAAAGGGGCACAUUAAGGCUAUUAAUACCUGACAUAUUCCUCAGUUAUAGACAUGAUUUUUGAUAGCAAAAACACUCUUCUUCUCUACAAAAAUCAUUAUGAUCAUUAGCCAUAAAGAGAGUUCGAUGAAUACAAUAAUUUGAGGUACCGCUAUUAUUAGAUCGAAAGCCAUUUUAUCCUGGGAGGAAAAUUACAUAACCUCGAGUAUUAUGAGUGGAAUUCUUCCUUAAGGACACUCCGUGAAGUUGGGGGACUUGGAUUUAAAUUUCUAUUUUAUCUCAUUUCUAAGACUAUAACACACCUCUUGGAUUGAUUAUUUAUAAUCUUUUGUUAAAGGUGUUGUGUAAAUUCAUAGGUUUUCUUGUUUUAAAACUUGAACUUUUAUUGAAGUUGUUGUGUGCCAAAAUACAGAUUCUUGUACCCGAAAAUAUUGAAAAUAACAAUCGUAAGGAAUAAUACUCGUAAUCUGUAUUGCUUGAUUUCUGGAGGUUAGAGCUUUAAGAUUUAUACUCCGUUUGAACUUAACUACCGAUUUGAAGAUAUAAAAUCUUCAUCAUAAGUUACAACUCUUUGUCUUCAAAGGUUCACAUUUGAAGAAUCUCUAGAGGUGCCUAAGGAAACCUCUGACCAAGAGCAAUUUGUCAUUGUGGAGGCAUGGAAACACUCAAAUUUCCUUUGCAGGAAUUACAUUCUAAAUGGACUCCCAGAUGAACUAUACAAUGUGUAUAGUGGGAUGAAUACGGCAAAGGAGUUGUGGGGGUGCUAGAAAUUAAGUAUAAGACUGAGGAUGCGGGAACUAAAAAGUUCUUCAUUUCAAGAUUCCUAGAGUUUAAAAUGAUUGACAACAACUUUGUUGAAUCGCAAGUCUAGGAACUGCAUGUAAUCAUCCAUGAUCUCCUCGCGGAAGGUAUAAUUCAGAGGAAUACCUUUGUUGAAUGUAUUAAAAAUAUUAUGAAUGAAACAUGAACUUAAUUGUAGGUUUGAUCGUUAAUGAAGCAUUUCAAGUUUCAGCAAUUAUUGAGAAGUUACCACAUAUGUGGAAGGACUUCAAGAACUACUUGAAACACAAGCGAAAGGAGAUGCCAGUCAAAGAUCUAUAAUAAUAUUAUGUAUUGAAAAAAGAUAAUAAGGCCAUGGAAAGAAUGUCAAAGGGAAAUUUUGUAAUAAGUGGAGCAAAUAUUGCAGAAAAUAACAAAAACAACUCCAAGAAAUGGAAGAAAGCUGGACAUCAAAGCAAUCAACCCAAGAAAAAAUUCAAGGAAAAAUGCUUUAAUUGUGGCAACAUUGGCCACAAGUCUAUGGAUUGUCGCUCUCCAAAAAAAGGAAAGAAAAAGGACUAAGUAAAUAUGACUGAGUCCAAGAAAGAAACAGAUAAUCUGUGUGCCAUGAUGUCCGAAUGCAACUUAGUGGGAAAUCCUCGAGAAUGGUGGAUGGAUUCCGGUUCCACCCACCAUGUUUGUGAUAAUAAAGAGUUCCUUGCUACUUUUUCUCUAGCUCAAGGGGAAGAGAAGAUAUACAUGGCCAUCUCCGCAACUGCUAAAGUUGAAGAAACAGGAAAAGUAUGCCUAAAAAUGACAUCAGGCAAAGUGUUGACUUUGAACAAUGUCCUAUAUGGACCAGAGUUAGAGAAGAACUUGAUUUCUGUAUCACUUCUUAACAAGAAUGAAUUCAAAUAUGUAUUUGUUUCCAAAAAAAAUUGUAUUAGUAAAGGAGAAGUGUAUGUAGGAAAAGGCUACCUCAUCGAGGGCCUAUUCAAAAUGAAUGUAAUGAAUCUUGAAAACAAUAAAAUUUUAAUUUCUUCUUACUUGCUUGAGUCUUAUGAUUUGUGGCAUGAAUGAUUAAGCCAUGUUAAUUAAAAAACAUAGCGAGAACUGAUUAACUAAGAAGUUUUACCAAACUUUGGGUGCAAUAAAUCAAAAUGUCAAACGUGUAUGGAAUCAAAAUAUGCUAAGCAUCUGUAUAAGUCCUUUGAAAGGAAUUUCAAUCCCUUAGACUUAAUCCACACUGAUAUUUGUGAUAUGAAGUCAACACCAUAUUAUGGUGGAAAAAAGUAUUUUAUAACUUUUAUUGAUGAUUGCACUAGAUAUUGUUAUGUCUAUUUGCUAAAUAGUAAGGAUGAAGCAAUAGAUGCGUUUAGGCAAUAUAAAACUAAAGUUGAAAAUUAGUUAGGGAAAAAUAUCAAAACAAUAAGAAGUGAUAGGGGUGGAGAAUAUGAAUCUCCCUUUGUGCAAAUAUGUGUAGAGAAUGGAAUUGUCCAUCAAACUACGGCCCCGUAUUCACCUCAAUCUAAUGGAAUUGCGGAAAGUAAAAAUUAAACCUUGAAGGAAAUAAUGAAUGUCUUACUUAUAAGUUCAAGUUUACCACAAAACUUGUGGGUGGAAGCUAUCCUUAUGGGUAACUGAAUACUCAAUAGAGUGCCCUAUAUUAAGACACAAUCAAUUCCAUAUGAAAAAUAGAAAGGAAGGAAACCCUACUUAAAAUAUUUCAAAGUGUGUGGGUGUCUUACGAAGGUUCAAGUUUCUAUGCCUAAAAGAGUAAGGAUCGGACCUAAAAUGCUGGACUGGGUGUUCAUAUGAUAUGCUAAAAGUAGUAAAGCAUGAAGGUUUUUGGUUCAUAAAUCUGAACAUCGAGAUAUCAGUACAAAUAUGAUAAUUGAAUUAGAUAAUGCUGAAUUCUUUGAAUAAAUUUAUCCAUAUAAAACUAGACAUGAACAGUCUAGUGGGGGUCUAAACGACCUAGAAAUGAACCAAGUAAGGAUGUAUAUACUGAUGAGAAUCCAAGAUGUUGUUCACAUCAAAGAACGUCAACUUUUUUUGGAUUGUACUUUGUAAUAUUUCUCUUCGAAAAUGAACUUUAAACUUUUAAAGAAGCGAUGUCGUCGUUAGACUAACCCUUGUGGAAAGAGGCAGUCAAUAGUGAGAUUGAUUCAAUCUUAAGAAAUCAUCCGUGGCAGUUGGUUGAUCUUCCUCCAGGAAAUAAACCUUUAGGUUCUAAAUGGAUCUGUAAAAGCAAAAUUAAAACGGAUGAUACUAUUGACAAAUACAAGGCAAGACUUGUUGUGAAAGGCUUUAAACAAAAGGAAGGCCUUGAUUACUUUGCUACAUACUCGCUAGUAAUGAGGAUAAUGUCAAUUCGGAUGUUAAUAACCUUGGCGGCAAUAUAUAGUCUUGAAAUCCAUCAAAUAGAUGUGAAAACAAUAUUCCUAAAUGGAGAAUUAGAGGAAGAAUUACAUAGAAUAGCCUGAGGCUUUUAUGGUUCCAGGAAAAGAAAAUAAGGUGUGUAAACUUGUUAGGUCACUUUAUUGACUAAAACAAGCACCUAAACAAUGGCAUUUGAAGUUUGACUAAACCAUGUUGGAAAAUGGGUUCAAGAUUAAUGAAUGUGAUAAAUGCGUUUACGUUAAAGACACUCUAAAUCACCAAGUCAUUGUUUGUUUGUAUGUGGAUAGUAUGCUGAUCAUUAGUAGAGACAUUUUGAACAUAAAUGCAACGAAAUAAAUGCUCGAGAGCAAGUUAGAUAUGAAAGACCUUAGAGUUGCGGAUGUGAUCUUAGGAAUAAGAAUCCAUAGAACUCCACAAAGGUUGGCAUUGUCACAGUCUCUUUAUAUCGAAAAGGUACUUGACAAAUUCAAGUAUAUGGAAUUCGGUAUUACCAAGACUCAAUUAGAUGUGAGCUUCACACUUUGAAAGAAUGAAGGUAAAGUGACUCACAAUUGGAGUACGCAAGAGUAUUGGGAUUUUUAAUGUAUAUAAUGAAUUGUACACGAACAGGCAUAGUAUGUUCUACUGUUAAGGUUAGUCAGUACAUGGGUAAUCCCAAUAAAACUCCUUAAAUGGCAAUGAACAGAGUUUUGGGGUAUCUUAAAUACACUCAAGACUAUGCUUUGCAUUAUAAUAAAUAUCCUGCGAUACUUGAAGGAUGCAAAUUGGAUCACCUAAUUAAACGAAGUAAAAUCCAUGCCUGGAUAUGUAUUUAAUAUCGAUAGAGGAGCGGUCUCUUGGAAGUCAUCCAAACAGACAUGUAUUACUUACUCUACAAUGGAAUCUGAUUUUAUCAUAAUUUAUAAAGCCGGUGAAGAAGCAGAAAGGCUCUGGAAUUUCUUGGUAGAUAUCCUUAUUGGCCCACACCAGUGGUACCAGUAUGUAUACACUGUGAUAGCUAAGCAGCAAUAGGUAGGGCUGGGAGCAUGAUGUACGAUGGUAAAUCUAGUCGCAUAAGACGAAAACAUAAUACCAUUAGAGAACUUCUCUCUAGUGGAAUUAUCCCUUAGAGGUGGAUACAAAAUUUAAAGUUUAUGGGAUCCAGUAAAAUAAAAAUGGUCAUUUCAAGGGACAUUGAACAGGGGUAUAGCAUAUGAGACAUUUCUUCAAGCCCCAUUUGGACCAAUAAGCCAACUAACAUCUUUACAUAUGGGUUUCUCACUUAUAAUUCUUAUAUAUUUAAUAGAUUUUUAAUAUAAUUACAAGGUAUAUGAAAAUGCUUGGGGUUCCCAGGAACCCACAUUGGCACUGCUACAUCUGCCACUGUUACCACUAUUGACUUUGUAAAGUUAAAAGAUAAUGUGUCAGAUCCACUUACAAAAGAACUAUCUGGGGAAGGAGUUGAAAGGGCAUCUAAGGUAAUGGGUUUAAGGCCUAGGAUAAGUUAGCAUGGCAGUAAGUCUACCUAGAAGACUGGAGAUCCCAAGAGCUAGGUUUAAAAGAUCAAACAAAGUUGUGUCUGACAGGUUCAACAUUGUCAUUAUACCCAACCCAUUCUCAUGAUGUAGAUAAUAUUUAGUAAAUGAGGAUAAGACUUAUGGCGUGAAGUCUUUUAAUGAUUGUCUAAAUUUGGAAGAUUUUACCAAAUAUUUUAAUCUACAGGAUUGAACAUUUUGAAAUCACCUAUGUGAGGGCAAAGUGGAAGCCGCUUUAAGAAGGAUAUUAGAAAAGGCCUAUUCUCUAAGCUCUCAUGAAACUAGGACGUGUUCAUGGUUGGAAAGAACAAAAUCAUGAGAACCAUAAACAGUAAAACUCUAGUUGUGUGACAUAUGUUGUCUAGGUGUAUAUUAAAGCUUGACGAUUUAAAGAUGCCAAAUCUAUUGAUUGACUGUGUGCAUCCUAUGCAUGUUCACUAUAAAAAUUUCAAAGGAAAACCCAUUUAUUCAGAUGCAAUCAGUAUUUGCUCAACGGUCACAUACUUAUUUGUAUCUUUCUUCAAAACAUAGUCAUUCCACAUUCAUGUGAUGGAUUGUACGGUUCAAGGUGUAUGUACGAAUGGAAAAUGGAGGGAAAAAUUAGUGGAGGGAAAGUGUCCCUAAAUUGGAAAGUGUAUUCUUUUAAUAGAAGGCCCACUAAUUCUCCUACUUGGNNNNNNNNNNNNNNNNNNNNNNNNNNNNNNNNNNNNNNNNNNNNNNNNNNNNNNNNNNNNNNNNNNNNNNNNNNNNNNNNNNNNNNNNNNNNNNNNNNNNNNNNNNNNNNNNNNNNNNNNNNNNNNNNNNNNNNNNNNNNNNNNNNNNNNNNNNNNNNNNNNNNNNNNNNNNNNNNNNNNNNNNNNNNNNNNNNNNNNNNNNNNNNNNNNNNNNNNNNNNNNNNNNNNNNNNNNNNNNNNNNNNNNNNNNNNNNNNNNNNNNNNNNNNNNNNNNNNNNNNNNNNNNNNNNNNNNNNNNNNNNNNNNNNNNNNNNNNNNNNNNNNNNNNNNNNNNNNNNNNNNNNNNNNNNNNNNNNNNNNNNNNNNNNNNNNNNNNNNNNNNNNNNNNNNNNNNNNNNNNNNNNNNNNNNNNNNNNNNNNNNNNNNNNNNNNNNNNNNNNNNNNNNNNNNNNNNNNNNNNNNNNNNNNNNNNNNNNNNNNNNNNNNNNNNNNNNNNNNNNNNNNNNNNNNNNNNNNNNNNNNNNNNNNNNNNNNNNNNNNNNNNNNNNNNNNNNNNNNNNNNNNNNNNNNNNNNNNNNNNNNNNNNNNNNNNNNNNNNNNNNNNNNNNNNNNNNNNNNNNNNNNNNNNNNNNNNNNNNNNNNNNNNNNNNNNNNNNNNNNNNNNNNNNNNNNNNNNNNNNNNNNNNNNNNNNNNNNNNNNNNNNNNNNNNNNNNNNNNNNNNNNNNNNNNNNNNNNNNNNNNNNNNNNNNNNNNNNNNNNNNNNNNNNNNNNNNNNNNNNNNNNNNNNNNNNNNNNNNNNNNNNNNNNNNNNNNNNNNNNNNNNNNNNNNNNNNNNNNNNNNNNNNNNNNNNNNNNNNNNNNNNNNNNNNNNNNNNNNNNNNNNNNNNNNNNNNNNNNNNNNNNNNNNNNNNNNNNNNNNNNNNNNNNNNNNNNNNNNNNNNNNNNNNNNNNNNNNNNNNNNNNNNNNNNNNNNNNNNNNNNNNNNNNNNNNNNNNNNNNNNNNNNNNNNNNNNNNNNNNNNNNNNNNNNNNNNNNNNNNNNNNNNNNNNNNNNNNNNNNNNNNNNNNNNNNNNNNNNNNNNNNNNNNNNNNNNNNNNNNNNNGGAAAGAGUCAAUAAAUUAGAAAGUGUACUUUUUUAAUGGAAAGUCCACUAAUUCUCAUACUUGGUAGGAGAAGGGAACUUUCAAUUGUUUAUAAUAAGGAACACUUAAUCCACAUAGUAAAGCAAGCAAGAACAAGUGCAAUGCCCCAAAAUCUGAUCCCAAGAUGUUACAUGGUGCUCAAGACUACGCGUAGCCUUCAGCUAACUCUUUCUGCCUUCUACUAAGUCUGAAUCUCAUUAUAAUGGAAAUAUUAUAAUGGAAAUAUAGACAUAAAAGUCAUACUAAAUGUGGAAAACUGUCUGAGAUAAGUGAGGAUAUACUGUAAAUCUGAAUCAAAUCUAGUAGUCUGACAAGCCUCUACUAUUAAUAACUACUGAGUUAAUGGGAUGAAUUGCCAGCUAACUCGAACUGUUUGGAAAGAAUAUAGAAUCAUAUAAGCUAAUAAGCUACAAAAUCUGAAUGAAUAAGUCCCUGAACUAUGAGGACUCAAUAACUGUCGGAUGUAGAUGGAGAUGCUCGAACUACUCAUGCUACUGAUAUUGAGCACCUGAUUCUACAUUAUGAGACAAUGUAUCACAUAAUCAUAUAUAUGGAUCAGUACUUUGAGGAUGUACUGAUUAUAUGGGGGUGAAAUGCAUACAUAGAAACAUUAUCUCAUCAUUAUAAUUUUUAAAACAAUGCAUGCAAAAUGUAAUGACUCACAUAAGCUGGAAUAUCAUAAAUUCUGAAAUAUGAAAUCAUGAAUAGCAAUCAUACUUUGUAAAUCUAGUGAGUCAUAACAUUUAGUUCUGAAAGAUGUUCUAAUGUUCUAUCUAUAAAUUAUACUGUUAAAGUGUAAAAAGAGCUUAGUUUUGUAUCUGUAAUCUGAAGUUGAAAUCUAAAGCUAAUAUCUUUCUGUAAAAUAUAAUCUGAAUAAAGUUGUGAGCCUUUACACUUAGUUUUCUUAAAAUCUUUUCUAUAAAUCUUUUACUUUAAAUAUCAGGGAGGUUCUUCUAACCCACAUAAAUGAUGUGAGCUAACAUGGAGUCCAAUAUCUCAUUCCCCUAAGGGGAAAACCUCACGAUGGGGAGAGGUGUCAUACUCUUUCCAAGAAGUAUAACCUGAGCUAAGUGAUCACAUCUGUAACUGUCACUGAUAUUAGAAUGGGGAAUGAUAUGAUAAUUACCUACAUUGGCUACAUAGUUCUGUGGAAGAUAGGGCAUGCUAAUCCCACACUUUCUGCUCGGUGCUAAAUACUACUCCCUUUAAUCUGUAUGCUCAUUCUGUUGGAAAAUCCACUUUAAAACUAGCAUAAGGGUUUAGCUAAAACCAAUUACGCUCUUAUCUGAUUUAAUCUAUAAAUAAAAUUGUUUUGAUUUUUGUAAACUAUGAUAAUCUAUAAAGUGAAUUUCAAAUUUAUCUGAGGAUCAAAAGAUCAAAGCUUUAUUGAAAUCCUGUGAAUAAUCUGAUCAUAGGAUGCUUAAAAGAUCAACAUUCUUGAAAUAUCAAUAUAUAAACUUGGGCUUAGUAACCCAUGCAUCAAUCUCAUGUCAAAACAUCAUAGUAAUCAUGCUUGGUAAUGAAAACAAUGAUAAUUCAUCUCAAAAUCUAGAAAUUACUGCAAUAGGCAUGAAAAUAUCGAAAUAGACAUGCAAUUCAACUUCUAAAACCCUUGAAAUCUCAUAAUCUUAUAAAUUAGCAAUAAUGGGUAUGAACCCUAAUUUAAAUCUGAUGUAUAUUCAUUAAAAAUCAUAUGAAUUUGUAAUUAAAACUUGGUUUUUGGGAACAAGGAUGGAAAAAGAUCCUUUUUCAUAAACCCCACAUAUCUUGGUAGAUGAUUAGAUGGACAAUCUUGAAUUAUUGAUCCCUAUUUGAGUUCUUGAAGAUAGUAUCCAGAUAUAAAAUAUUUGACACACCCAUUAUUUUUCAGUUUAGAGCCUUCCAUUACAUAAUAAAUUCAAUUAGCUUUCCAAUGAUAUAAAAUUCGCCCAAAUUCGAUAACCGGAUAAGAAGCUAUUGCGAUUUUAAGUUUCAGUCAUUAAACACCAUCAUUUUGGUCACUAGCGCGUUGCAGAGCUAGUCUAAAUCACAAUUAUCUAAAUCCAGUCUGCCUCUGCGAUAAUAGCGCAUCGCUAAGGUAGCUAAAAUGGCAUUCCAAAGGCUUACCGCGAUAGCUCCGCGUCGCGCCGAGCUUCCAGGUCCAGUUGUCAAUUUCCAAUAAGGUUACAUGAUCCUGGUGCAUCACGCCUGGGCCUCAAAUCGGGAAUUUUAGUUUUUCAGUUCCGUAUUUUUAAUUUCCAAGGGUGUGUUUGGUCAUUUUCCUAAGCCUUAAUCUCGUCCUAAACACGAAAUUAUAGCCUAGUAAAGCAUUGUAUGCACAUUAUUCUCAAAUUACUCAAAAGAGGAUCCAUUCUCUUCAAGAUAACAAAAAACCUAGCUCCCAAAUUCAAGGCCAAAGCUCAAGAGCCCUCUAUCAAUCUUCUUAAAUUAAUUAACCCAAGUAUGUUAAAUGUUCAUCCUUGGGUUCCUUUCACCUAUAGAGUCUAAGUAUCCAAUUUAAAUUACAAAAUUUUGAUCUUUUCAAGUUAUUUUGAUUUUAAAUUAUGAUUUCACACAUGACUCUAUGAACUACGAUUUUACACCAUGUAUAGAUGAAAUUAUUUUUAUUAUUCAAUUCUCCAUGUUUUAAUGUUAUCAUUCAUUGAAUUAAUCAUGAUUUAGUACUAUUCAUGUUGAAUUCAUUCUAUUACUACAAGUUCUCUAACAUUCCUAUGAUUUGACCAAACUAUGAACUACAAUUUUUUGACAAAAUGCCUACAAGAAUGAGUAGUUGAUAAGGGUUUUCAUGCUAAGUCCUCUAAGUUUGAUAUUGUGUUACUAUUUUUGCUUUUGAGUCCUGGGUGUAUGGAAUACCCAAAAACCAUAGAUGCUUAUUUAGUCUCGUCUCAGUAUCUUCAGAAUACAUAUUAUGAGCAUUACUAGAUCAGUUAGUUAAACUCAGAAUAGUCAGUAACUCAGUAUUAUUCGGUUGGGAGUAGGAGUUAGCACCGAGCAAGUGUAGGGAUGGCGGUGCAAUACCCCAAAGUUUUCUAACUAAUUUUGUCUCAAGAAUUUCAAGUAUUAGCUUCUAAAUUCAAUAAGCUUUCCAUCGAUAUAAAAUUCGCCUAAAUCUUAUAAUCGAAUAAGAAGUUAUAACUAUUUCAAGUUUCCAUCGUAAAGCAGCGUCAUAUUGGUCAGUGGCGCACCGCGCCACAAGAUAAAAUGGAAAUUUUCGUUUUUCCAAUGUCUCAGUACAAUUUCUCCGUGUCAAGCCAAACUUCCAGGUCGCAAAUGAAGUGGCAACGCGAUGGCUCCGCAUCGUGCCAUUUUCCUAUUUACCAAUUGUCAAAUUCCAGUGACACGGUACGAUAGCGCUGCGUCAUGCUAGGGGUCCAGUUUAGGAAAUUUUCACCAAUUUAAAAGGCACGUUCAGGGUUAAAAGGGUCAAUUUUCCACCCCUAUUUAAGCCCUUUAACACGAGAUUCAGCUAUUUGGAACCCAAAAUAUACUAGUUUCUCUCAAUUUUCUCUCAAGAACAAGCUAGGGUUUCAAUUGGGGAUUCAAUUUCAAGAAAGUUUAUCCGUCAAUCUUCGUGUAUGUCUUUUGUUGAUUCAUAGGUCUCUUUCACCCAUGAAUCUCAAGAAUUUCUUUUCAAAAUCACUGAUUUGUAUAUUUACGAAUGUUCAUGGUUUGAUUAAAUUGAAAAGUGAUGUUCAUAUUCCUGUUUGGUUUCAUUCCAUGUUAUAUACUAUUAAUUAUAAGAAUUGAUUCUAGUAUGUGAGGAAUUACGCGGUAUUCAUGAUAAACCCUUCAAUUCACAAGUUGAUUGAUGUAUCCUUUAUUAUUAUAUGUGUUGAUGAUUGUAUAACCAUAGCAUGCCCCCCCCAUGUUUGAUUAAAUGCCUAUGUGAAGGAAAAGUAUCAUACUAGUAUGAUAAUAUGAAAUCUCCAUUCAUGUACAAGUUAUGUAUGUCAAGUGUUUGAUGAAAUGUCUUAGCCAAUAGAUUAUGUAUUUUUGAUAUUGGUCCUAUACUCAAGAAAGUCAUGCUUUGUGCUUUCAUGAUAUGCUAAUUCAAGCCAUGAUCCAUAGAACUCUGUCAGUCAUGUGACUCAAGAAAGCUUAGUAAUAUAGUAAUCUCAGUUCAGUAAUCCAUGACCAGUGUCUAUUUAGAUAGGAGUAGGAAUUAGCACCUAAUGAACCUAAGGAUGGGAACACACAUUAUCGGAUGAGGGUAUGAUUCUUAGAAGUCAUCCUUGUGUUCCAGAACUAUGUAGCCAGCAUAGGUUGAGACAUCAACACUGUUAGAUGAGGGUUGAUGAGGUGGGUAAGAACUAUCAGAUGAGGGCCCUACCAUUCUCUUUUGGGGACACUGUCAGAUUAGGGUCACUCACAAUUUGUCCUUACCAGUGGCGUGGUAUUGACACCUUUCUAAUUGGGAUUAUAAAUUGGACCCCAACUCAGCCAAAAUGGUGUAUUAGGGGCAUGUCAGUUAGAUAAUUACCCCUGGACUAAUUAAAAUUAUAUUUUUGGCAACCUUAAGGCCUACGUGGCACAGUGUGUGAAUCAACAUACUGUGGGUCCGUGUAGGAACAUAUAUGUGCAACGUAGGCACUUAAGGUUGUAAAAAAUACGAUUUUGAUUAGUACAGGGGGUAAUAGGACUCCAUUUAUGUUGGAGUGUUUCUCAGCAAUUUCAUUUAUAGUUCAGGGUAGAAACAGUGCAUUUUCUUUUUUUGUUCAGAUCAUUCCCACUUGGACUUUUAUUAUUGGUCUCUUCUUGUUACUUAUUAAAUUACGUUGUAGUUAAAACUCCAUCUAUCUUUAAUUAACAAUCACUUUAGCUAAAAAAAAAUCAAUCCAAAUAAUUUUUAAUACGAAAUUAAAGUUUACAUUUAUUUUCAACUACACCCUUAUAGUUCUUAUUGAUAAAUGACAUAUAAUAAAUAGGACAAUUUGAUCAAUAAUACCUUGUACCUAUAUUUUUCUUAGCAAACGUGAAAAAGGAUACAACAAUGACUAAAAUGGAAUGGAUAAGAUAAUUUUUAGGGGGUGUGUGAAACAUAAGCACGACAAGUAAAUGAACCGAAUGGAGUAAUCUAUUAAUGUAAUUUAAUUAUUAUUUAGUAUCCUUGUAGAUUAUUAUGAAGUUAGUUUGUGUAAGAGCUCUAAAUUAAGGUUAUAAGAUAUAAUAUAAACAUGAAGUCAUGAAAAUAUUUUGUUGUAUUAGAUGAUUUUAUAAAAUAAAAUAAAUGAAUUAGGCAAAAACUCUCGCUACAUGAAGUAAAGAACAAAAUUAAAACUCACUAAAUAUCAAAAGAAAUUUAUUUCAGUAUAUAAAUAAACAAUUAGAUACUCACAAAACUAUAAAAAAAUAAAUAUUUUUUUAUUUAUGAUCUUCAUCCAAUUAUAAUUAUUUAAUUAUUUUAAAUCAUGUUAUUUACAAAAUAUUGAAUUGAUUGUGGCCCUUUGAUAUAUUCUAAUUCUCUGGUAAUAUUUUUUAACUCACAAAUAUUUUUUUCCUUAAAAAUAAUCUACUUAUGUAUUUAAAAACUUUAAUAAUUAGGAAAACUUAUUAACAAGACACGUUUGACAUAUAAUUAGAUUAUAUUAUUCAUAAAAUAAAAAAUAUAUAAAAGAUUAUAUUUUAAAUUAAAAUUAGUUAUUUUAUAUCUUUAGUUUGGGCCCGGGCUUAGCACGGGCCUCUUGUAACUAGUUUUUAAUAGAUGUAUCAAAAUAUUACAUAACUUAUUUUUAGGAUUAGCAAGAUUUCAACCAUGUUAAUUCGUUUGUACUAAGUAUAUAUAUUUUUCCACUUAGAUGUUCUUUUGUGAUUGUUUUUAUUUUAAGUUGAUUAUAAGAACUGAGUGAAAAAAACUGCAACCUAAAAUUUUUUAAAAAUUUUAUCAGUGUUGCGAUAAAGCUAUUGAUUUUGGUUGUUUUCCAGUAGCACUUCUCCACCAACAAUUGUUGCUUCUUUGAGAGUUUCAAGAUUCUCAUUGCAAAGUGCUAAAAAUCUUUUGGUGGUUCAAUAGAACUAUCAGAUUUGACCAGAGAAAAUUACAUCUGGAUUUCUAGAUCUAGCAGAUCUAAUUGAAGAAAAUCAAAUCUAGAAUUCCAAAUCUAUCAGGUUUGACUACAUAAAUCAAAUAUGGAACUCUAGAUCUAUUAGAUCUGAUCAGAGAAAAUUGAACCUGGAACUCAAGAUCUAUCAGACUGAUUGGAGAAAACAAAAUUUGAAACUUCAAAUCUAUCAGAUCUAACUAGAGAAAUCAAAUCUGGAACUCCAAAUCUACCAGAUUGACCAGAGAAAUCAAUUCUGGAACUCCAAAUCUAUCAGAUCUGACCAAAGAAAUCAAAUAUGAAACUCCAGAUUUAUCAGAUCUAGACCGAGAAAAUUGAACCUAAAACUCCUGAUCUAUCAACCUAAUUAUAGAAAAUGGAAUCUAGAACUCUAGAUCAAUAAGGUCUAACCAGAGAAAUCCAAUCUAGAACUCUAGAUCUAUUAGAUAUGACUGGAGAAAUCAAAUCUGGAUCUCCAGAUCAACUAGAUUUUAUCAGAAAAAAUUGAAUCUGAAACUAUUGUUGUUGGUUCUAAUGCACAACUGUCAUUCUCUAAUAUGGUUCACCAUCCACCUCCACUACUCCGGCAACCCAGGGCUAGCAAGCGGAGUCUCUGACAAUAAGAAUUUGGCGUCUAGUUUUAGCACUAGAUUUUGCCAACAUCCUACAAAGUUUCCAAGAAAACCGCCCUAAUCCCUGUGAUUUCUAUCUCUUUAAUCUUUAUUAAAGUCAUUUGCUAUUUUCUAUUUUUUGUUUAAAUCUUCCCAAGUUUUCAUUCUCUGCCCACAUUUUUCUAACUUG
rnacentral:lncRNA from 1 species